UGAAAAAAAUCUCUGGGUUCUUUUUUUUUUUCAGAUCUGUAAAAGUAAUAGGGGAAAGCACAAAAGGAUCAAGAAAAGAAAGAUCCUGAUCUUUGUCGGAGGAGUGAUGAAACAGCGUUGCUUGGGUGAAAAUUGGCCUGACCUUCACCCACGUGAAGCUUCUGCUGCCUCAACUUCUGAGCCUUCGCUGGGAGAUUAUGGCAGGGAGAAAGACACAAGGCCUCCUCAGCUGGUUAGAACAGCAAGCAGAAUGAGGCUGGCAGAGUCCUGCCAACAUUCCAAGGAAACUUGACGCGGUCCCCGGCACUCAGCCAGAGGCUGCUGGUGGAAGGCAGAACUCCAUGGAACCCUGAUAUUAAGUUACAGAGUCUGCCUGUUAGUAGAGACCAGAGUUUUUCUGUGACACUACUGUCAAACAGCCCCCUCUGUGACUAAUAUUUUUAACAGCAUGAUAUUUAAAAUUUGACAAGGAUAUAAUAAUUCAUUCUUCAGAUAGUCAACAUGCGAUGAGAGCAAGCCAUGUCUUCAAGGCGUCUUUCAAAGGGGCUAUUAAAAGAAGGUUAAAAUCCCUCCCCCUCAGUACGAAAUGUAAGUUUUCACUUCAACCACAUAAAAUUAAAUUUUAACUUAAAAGCGAACAACUGAAAAUUAGAUGGAAAAAAUAAGGAGAAAGACCGAAUUCACCCAUUCAAAGGGAACGAUGAUGUCUGUCUGCAGUUAGCAUAGAAUCUGCGGAGCCCUCUGAGAGUUUCAUAACUCUGGUAUCCAGUAUUUUCCUCUUACGAUUUGGAUUGUAUUUCUAAUCAAAACUUAGAAUUGAAUGGAAUGCAGUCUCCUGUUAUGGUAUAUAGAUGUAAAGCAACACAAGAAACAAUUGUCUACAAAUUUUCUGCCACAAUUCUCUUCUCUAUUCCAGAUCUCCUUAUAUGAUAAACCUACAGUCCCAAGCAGCCAGACGUUCUCAAAAGAAAUCCCUUAAAAUAAAAUGUCCCUAAAUCUCCA
rnacentral:lncRNA from 1 species